AAUCGAUCAACUGACCUGAUAUCCCCGUGAAGUCGGCUGCCGUCGGGUUAAAGGCGUCACUGACGCCCAGAGCAGGAAGCACUGACCUCAGGCUGAACUUGUUCUGCAUUCUGAAUCUGGAAAAAAAUAGAACGAGGGAUUUCACCUGGGCAGGAAGAUGUCCAUCUUGGUCCUCCGCAGGCCGGACUCCCAGGAGGCCAGCUGGCGGGCGGUGAGCUGGGAUUCCAGGGAAGACAGCGGGCUCUUCCUCUCGCUGGGCAGGACCACCUGCAGGCUCAGGGUGCGGCCCAGGUACGGCAGCUCCAGCACGGUGUAGCGCUGGUCCGACGCUGUCCUGAACUGACCUGAAGGAGAAAAUCCCCAGAACACGGAGCUUCUUCAGACUUUGUUACAUUGCACCCAUAAACUUAUUAGUGGGAUUUUAGUGGUUUAUACCAAAUAAAAUGUAGUACAUAG